rnacentral:rRNA from 1 species
GUCUGUGGUCAUACCACCCUGAACACACCCGAUCUCACCUGAUCUCCGAAGCCACACGGGUCGGGCCUGGUUAGUUCUUGGAUAAGUCUUGACUUUACUUUUGUACGUGGUGUAAGUUAGGGGUCCAGUUU